rnacentral:lncRNA from 1 species
CAUGGAAUAGGAGAGGCCGUAAUGCGGCGGAAUGCCUCGCUCCUGCUCCUGCUGCUGCUGUCCAAUCAGAAGGCGGCCGUGUGUCAUCCAGAUGGAGAGACUGGUGUGAGGACUUACACGUUUUUACCGUGACCUCCCACUCCCGGCGCGCCUGUUUGGACCGUGUCCUAGACCAUUACAUCACCCCACAAUAUCGUCAUCCAAAGCCUCUAGAUGAUUUUCUUGGGCGACUAGAAUAAUACCGUCUCUUGGAUAGUGAAAGUUACUUCUUUCGUCCGGUUUGCCCGGAACGGCGCUGGCAUCCGGCUGUUGACGCACUUGUCAUCAUUUGUAUUGACUAUGUACACGAGAUAAAAGCCUUCGGGGUAUUGAUUUUUCUGCGCGCGUUUCAAUCAAUCACAUCCAUCAGACGUGGAUUAAGGCAUUGCCAAGGAAUGAUGAUGAUUAUCAUUUCUAAAAAUACUUCCGUUUUAUUUUGUUUUCAAAGCAUUUACCUGCACGAUGAUUGUUGAUUGGCCGGUCAUCGUUUGACGUUUUACAGGCAAUCCGGAAAUGGGACCCAAAAAACUGAUACGAGGAUUAUUACUUGAGGACUUUGAACCGAUACCGUCAGGCAAAUAUCGUCGGGAGAUUUGGAGGAGACGGCCACCUGCGACGCCGACGUCGGGAACGUGAAUUUAAAGAUGCGGUUCUGCGACGGAGUGACCCACAUGCGACGCUCCUCUUCCAACCUAAGGACAAACAUUUGACUUUAUAGAAAGAGAUCCUCUAAGUGAUCCUUUAUGAACUCACCGCACGUGCAGCUGAGCGUCGACCGACAUUUUCAGACUGAACGUCACGUUCGAUCGGCUCGACGUGGAAAUAUCGACAACGAUUUGGUUGAUGGAUCCCAUCCAUGUCGUCGAUUCAGGGCACAACGUCCUCCGGAAGCUGUUGUAACCUAAUCUCGUGUACUGGUAGCCGGGCGAUGACUCGAUGACAUAAGGCAGUUCCCAAGAAGUAAUGGCCUUUUGUUGUCGCACCACAAAAAGGAUCGGAUGUUCGACGCCGGCGUCGCUACUUUCAACGCUGACGGCGAAAUUCGUCUUGAGCUGCGACAAAAAGUAGGAAUAGAUGAGUCGGUAUUCCAGCGAGUGGUUCAAUGUUUUGUCGUAGAUCUGACUGAAACUGGCCUGGAUCACUUCGAUGCAGUUGUUUUCACGCCGGUCGUCGACGGACGAGAGGCACGUCAUGGCAUUCGAUUUGGGCCGAACUUUUGUAUCCGUCCAGUUUAUCGCUUUGGACCAUUUGUCUUAUCAAUCACAACAAAUUGAAUCCAAAAAUGCAUCAACUUUUGUUUUAAAUAUUUUUUUGUUUUACCUUUGGUCAGGGGAUCUUCGUUUUCACUCGCCAAAACGCCACGGCUGCCCGGCUGAAUCGACACUAAAACGGACACUAUUAGCAGACACAAGAGAAAAUUGUGCAGAGUAAAUGGUCGACACGGCCAAGUCCAAUUGGAAUCGUGAAUGCUCAUUAUCGACUGACAUGGAUAUCCUCGUUGGGAGAAGAGAAGAACUACAAUCCUAUCCGCACUGUCGGACAAUGGACUAAUAUUUUUCGGUCGAGUUCAUUUCAGUUUCAACUGUCCAACGCGAAAGAUGUCUGUCCCAGAUAUUCCAGCAGAUGUUUGCAUCAAAAGUCUCGUUUUCUUUGAUUUGGAGACCACCGGCCUGCCCAGCGACCACCCGGCCAGGAUCACUGAAUUGAAUUUUUGUGGUGUCGAUCGAUCCCAGUUUAUCGGAUGCAUGGCCAAAAAAUGCCUCGCGUCACCAAUCGUUUAAAUUUGUGCAUCGAUCCAUCCCGUCCGAUUGAUCCGGUGGCGACUGACAUGUCGAAACUUGAUAAUGCCAAUCUCGGCCAGCAGAGCAAAUUUGACGAAAAUGUGUACAACAUCAUCGUCAGUUUCCUUGAAAGGCUUCAAAAGCCCAUCUGCUUGAUUGCCCAUAACGGUACGAAAUUCGAUUUCCCCAUC